CACAGUCAGAACUCAGAAUUCAUUCAUUCAGCCAACAAGCGUGAUUGAGCACCUGUCGUGUGUCAGGUGCUGUGCUAGGUGCUGGGGGCGCAGGGAGAUGACCCAGGCGGACCCAGACCCUACAGUGUGGGGACAGACAUCCUCGUGGGGAAAGACAGACGGGAAACAAGUAAGGGAGUCAGAGGCUCUUGAAGAAGGGGAGAAAGCAAAUGCAGCCCCCCACUAACACAAAUUAUGCAGUCGAGUCUCCCACAUUUGGGGGAAUCGCAGGGGUCAGCACAGCCAGAGUGCAAUGGACAAGCCUCGCCCUGGGAAAACCACCUGGUAUCUCCCCUGCCAGAGGAGGACACUGAGGUCGCCUGAGAAUGUCCAGGGUCGCAUGGGAGAAUCAUCUGGUGCUGGUGUCAGAGUGCCUUCCAUUCAGUCACGUCCUCGGUGAGAGCCCACUCGGCACAGCGGAGGCCGAGGGGAGAGCGCAUCCUGCAGCCUCCGAGAUCCCCAGUUCAGACUCUGGCUCUGUCCUCCACCUUUCUGAAUUCUUGUUAUGUUUUAGAUGUACUUCUUGUAAGCCCCAGAGAGUCGGGAUUGGUCCUCUAUCAAUUCUGACUAUUAUUUCUGAGAUCUUUCAUCUUUUUCUGUUUGGAUCCACCCUCAAUAUUUUGAGAGUUAAGUGAACAUAGUACACGUAUAUAUGUGUGUGUGUGUGUGUGUGUGUGUGUGUGUGUGUGUUUUGUACCACUACUCUGAUAGCUUGAGAUGAUCUUAUAAAAACAAGAGUUUUGUCCCUGGCUGGUGUGGCUCAAUGGGUGAGUGCUGUCCCGGGGACGGAAAGGUUGCUGGUCCAAUUCCCAGUCAGGGCACAUGCCUGGGUUGCAGGCCAGUCCCCAGUUGGUUCCUCUCCCUCUCCU